AACCAGGACCUGAGCAGAAGGGGAGUGGCCAUGGCCCCCAGAACCAGGCACAAAGCGCUGGAUGCCUUUCUCUGUCCUCCUCCCCAAGGAGAAAGGAAAAUUGGCCUGGACCCUAACUGCUCCUCCUCCAAGGGCAGAGCCAGCUGGUGCCUUCCCACACCUGGUACCUCCCUUGCUGGCAACAGAGCCCAGAGCCAGCACCAGCCACAGCAGGGACAAAGCUGCCCACAGCUGCUGGAGCCACCAGACACCCCAGGCAAGGAAUGACCUGGAAGACCUUGAGCACUUGCCACCUCCACCCCUCCUGAGCUGAGGCCCUGACACCCCACUGAUGGGCACUGACACCCCCUGCAACUUCUCCACUGCUGCCCACCGGUGCAUCGUGGGUGGCUUGCCAGCUGCAGCGGUCAUCGUCCCGGUCCUGCUCUCCUCAUCCACUCUGCUGGUCAUCAGCUACAUCUUGUGGAAGACAUGCCGCCAGUGGUCUCAGGCUAUCCGUCCUAGCCUGCCGUCCCCAUGAGGUGAAGUCAGUCCCUCCUCCGGGCCAGCAGAGGGCGUAAGAGUCUGUGGCUCGAAAUCUGAGAGGCUCUCUGAUACGGACGUGACGUCAUAAUACCGGAAAUCCGCGGCCUCCGAGACUGAGGGGGGUGUGGCGUGAAGUUCCGGCGGCGGGAGAAAAAGCGGCCGAAGUUUCGCAAGGUGAUGGUAAAGGGUUUGGCUGCUCAUCCCAGAGGUGCUAGGAAGAGGGUUUAAAAUGGAGCAAAGUGGGAACUCCUAUCCUGUUUCCUCCCCCGUCUCUUUACAGCUGGAAUGAGCUGGCUGGGGCAGGUGGUCAUCUCCCCCAUGAGCACAGGUGGACAGAGGUGACACCUUGUGUCCCUCAGCCCCCUGUCAGACUCCGUGGCUGGGUCUACCUUAACCAACCCAUCAGGUCCCCUCCCUCUGCGCCCUUUGAAUAUACUACGUUAAAUAAUCUUCUCAAAGGUUCUGUCAUGCUUCUCCUCCAGAAGCAGAAAGGGCUCCUACUGCCUGCAGAAAUAAGAUCAGACUCCUUGCUUUGUUGUCCAGGACACACUAUGACCGCACUGCACUGUGAUUUCCUUGAGGACUCAUCUUUGCAUCACCAGGGUCUACCACACAUGACCACACAAAUGGAACGUUAAACACUUUAAAGGCUCCAGUGAGAAACCUGUUCAAAUUCUGUGCCAGCUGCUGUCACUAUAGUAGCCACAGAGGGCUCUCCCCAGUGAACCUGCCUCAGACAAGGUGAGAGGAGACCAAGGAACACCCCGAGAACACCCCACACCUGGCUGACCAGGCCCCUUGCGCUGCAGAGAAGGCAGACACGGCUGGAAGGGACAGGA